rnacentral:lncRNA from 1 species
GACAUUUCUCCCUCUCCUCCAAGCUGUCUUAAAUUGUCAGAAACAAAUAGCAAAUAGAGACUCUGGGCUUCAGGUUGCAAACAAUCAUAAUUGUAUAGUGGGAUUCCUAUACAAAAUAUACAUCUACUGCAAACUGGGAAUUACUGGAGCCUCUGUCAGGUAGUUCUUCUGAACAUAGCAAGCUGCCGGCUCACAGUUUUAGCCAACAGAAUCAAUGCCAUAUCAAAAACAUGCGCCACUUCCUCGUGUUUAGCAGGAGCAAAGUCGUAGCCUCAUAACACAUAACUCAAGAGAUUUCCCAGGUGUGACCCCAUCUGGCUUGCACGCCACCACGUAAGGGCUGAUGGGCGAGAGCAUUUCCCCCCCAGAUGGCAGCUGUGUCCCAGAGGCCCCGUCACAUCCCACUGUGAUGCGCACAAAGCUGCUUUGCGUGCAGCGCCUCCAAACCUGUGAGCCAGCUACUCCAGGAAGGACAGUCAGGUUGACCUUGUUCCUACAGUGAUCCUCUUCCACAGUCACCUGGGGGACUAGCCCAGUGCCUCUUUCAACCUCCUGUGUUCCUGCCUCCUGUUAAGCACUGUGAUCACAGGUGAAAGGCUGCAGCACAAGCAGCAAGAGACAAUCCCAAGCUGCAGUUUCAACGUUGGGGAAAAUUAUUUGUGCAGGAUUUUACACUGGAAGACAUGGAGCAGAGUGUGGAAGACAGAUUUGAUAUAACUAUAGCAAGCAACAUUGCUAAGCAGCCACUGGCUUUCAUGAAGUACAUUCUUGCAUUUCUAGUUAGAUGAAAUUGAGGUAUUGAAGUCUGGAAUACAAAUGCACUACCAGAAGUACUUAGAUCUCACCAUGUUCUGGGGAGUUUGGGCAUUAGCUUUAAACUUUCCCAUGCAUGUGUUCCUCCUGAACUCAGCAAGCACAAACUUUCGAUACCUGCUCUAAGAGUGCAUGUAUACAAUCCCUCAUAAUAAGAAUCUCUGUUUAAAAUUGCAUCUUGGUCAGGUCAAAUUGCACACUCUAGAUUCC